UCCUGAGCAGAUUGAUACUUCUACAUACAUGCCAUCUUAAUGAGAAUGAGGUCUUGCAAAUGUGCCAGUUGUCUAGCUUGAAGACAUGAAGUGGCAAUAAGGUUUCUGCUUUGUGUAUCUACGUGGUUCUGAAUUUGAGCUGAUAAAAUUUGAAGGAUUGUGGAGACUUGUCUGCGUUGGCACUUUCUGGAUUUGCUGUACCCUUAAUGAUUUCUAUGCUGUUCCUGCAUUAGCAUGCAAAUUUCUCAAUGUUAUGAUAUUUAGUAUGAAGAGAUGUUGCUAAUAUCCACUAGAAUUAUUCUGCAUUAGUUUCUUGUACUUGUGCUAGCUAAUGUUAUAUAAGCCAG
rnacentral:misc_RNA from 1 species